rnacentral:rRNA from 1 species
CGAGCGGCGGACGGGUGAGUAAUGCAUAGGAAUCUGCCCGGUAGUGGGGGAUAACGUGGGGAAACCCACGCUAAUACCGCAUACGUCCUACGGGAGAAAGCGGAGGAUCUUCGGACUUCGCGCUAUCGGAUGAGCCUAUGUCGGAUUAGCUAGUUGGUAAGGUAACGGCUUACCAAGGCAACGAUCCGUAGCUGGUCUGAGAGGAUGAUCAGCCACACUGGGACUGAGACACGGCCCAGACUCCUACGGGAGGCAGCAGUGGGGAAUAUUGGACAAUGGGCGAAAGCCUGAUCCAGCCAUGCCGCGUGUGUGAAGAAGGCUUUCGGGUUGUAAAGCACUUUCAGCGAGGAAGAAAGCCUCUGGGUUAAUACCCCAGAGGAAGGACAUCACUCGCAGAAGAAGCACCGGCUAACUCCGUGCCAGCAGCCGCGGUAAUACGGAGGGUGCGAGCGUUAAUCGGAAUUACUGGGCGUAAAGCGCGCGUAGGUGGCUUGGCACGCCGGUUGUGAAAGCCCCGGGCUCAACCUGGGAACUGCAUCCGGAACGGCCAGGCUAGAGUGCAGGAGAGGAAGGUAGAAUUCCCGGUGUAGCGGUGAAAUGCGUAGAGAUCGGGAGGAAUACCAGUGGCGAAGGCGGCCUUCUGGCCUGACACUGACACUGAGGUGCGAAAGCGUGGGUAGCAAACAGGAUUAGAUACCCUGGUAGUCCACGCCGUAAACGAUGUCGACUAGCCGUUGGGACCUUUAAGGACUUAGUGGCGCAGUUAACGCGAUAAGUCGACCGCCUGGGGAGUACGGCCGCAAGGUUAAAACUCAAAUGAAUUGACGGGGGCCCGCACAAGCGGUGGAGCAUGUGGUUUAAUUCGAUGCAACGCGAAGAACCUUACCUACCCUUGACAUCCAGAGAAGUUGGCAGAGAUGCCUUCGUGCCUUCGGGAACUCUGARACAGGUGCUGCAUGGCUGUCGUCAGCUCGUGUUGUGAAAUGUUGGGUUAAGUCCCGUAACGAGCGCAACCCUUGUCCUUAUUUGCCAGCGAGUAAUGUCGGGAACUC